UACAGAGGGGGCAAGCGUUGUUCGGAAUUACUGGGCGUAAAGGGCGCGUAGGCGGCCUGUUAAGUCGAACGUGAAAUCCCCAGGCUCAACCUGGGAACUGCGUCCGAUACUGGCAGGCUUGAAUCCGGGAGAGGGAUGCGGAAUUCCAGGUGUAGCGGUGAAAUGCGUAGAUAUCUGGAGGAACACCGGUGGCGAAGGCGGCAUCCUGGACCGGCAUUGACGCUGAGGCGCGAAAGCCAGGGGAGCAAACAGG
rnacentral:rRNA from 1 species